UACGAAGGGGGCUAGCGUUGUUCGGAAUUACUGGGCGUAAAGGGCGCGUAGGCGGUGUGUCAAGUCAGGCGUGAAAGCCCCGGGCUCAACCUGGGAACCGCGCUUGAGACUGGCACGCUCGAGUUCGGGAGAGGAUGGUGGAAUUCCCAGUGUAGAGGUGAAAUUCGUAGAUAUUGGGAAGAACACCAGUGGCGAAGGCGGCUCACUGGCCCGGUACUGACGCUGAGGCGCGAAAAGCGUGGGGGAGCAAACAGG
rnacentral:rRNA from 1 species